AGAGUUUGAUCCUGGCUCAGGAUGAACGCUAGCUACAGGCUUAACACAUGCAAGUCGAGGGGCAGCACAGCGUGGCAACACGUGGGUGGCGACCGGCGCACGGGUGCGUAACGCGUAUCCAAUCUACCCAUAACUCCGGGACAGCCCUCUGAAAGGAGGAUUAAUACCGGAUGGCGCAGGGGGUCCGCAUGGACAUAUUGCUAAAGAUUUAUCGGUUAUGGAUGAGGAUGCGUACCAUUAGGUAGUCGGCGGGGUAACGGCCCACCGAGCCGACGAUGGUUAGGGGUUCUGAGAGAAAGGUCCCCCACACUGGAACUGAGACACGGUCCAGACUCCUACGGGAGGCAGCAGUGAGGAAUAUUGGUCAAUGGACGGAAGUCUGAACCAGCCAUGCCGCGUGGAGGAAGAAGGUCCUAUGGGUUGUAAACUCCUUUUGUUCGAGAGUAAUAAGAGGCUUGCGAGCCUCGAUGAGAGUAUCGGACGAAUAAGCAUCGGCUAACUCCGUGCCAGCAGCCGCGGUAAUACGGAGGAUGCAAGCGUUAUCCGGAUUUAUUGGGUUUAAAGGGAGCGUAGGCGGGCUGUUAAGCCAGCAGUCAAAUGUCAUGGCCCAACCUUGGCAUGCCGUUGGAACUGGCGGUCUUGAAUACACACAAGGGCGGUGGAAUUCGUUGUGUAGCGGUGAAAUGCUUAGAUAUGACGAAGAACUCCGAUUACGAAGGCAGCCGCCUGGGGUGCGAUUGACGCUGAGGCUCGAAAGUGCGGGUAUCGAACAGGAUUAGAUACCCUGGUAGUCCGCACAGUAAACGAUGGAUGCUCGUUAUGGGCGAUACACAGUCCGUGACCUAGGGAAACCAUUAAGCAUCCCACCUGGGGAGUACGCCGGCAACGGUGAAACUCAAAGGAAUUGACGGGGGCCCGCACAAGCGGAGGAACAUGUGGUUUAAUUCGAUGAUACGCGAGGAACCUUACCCGGGCUUGAAAUGUGCACGGCGGGGGAAAGAGACUUCCCCCUCCUUCGGGCGUGCAUGUAGGUGCUGCAUGGUUGUCGUCAGCUCGUGCCGUGAGGUGUCGGCUCAAGUGCCAUAACGAGCGCAACCCCUUCGGCCGGUUACCAUCGGGUGAUGCCGGGGACUCCGGCCGCACUGCCGCCGCAAGGCGCGAGGAAGGCGGGGAUGACGUCAAAUCAGCACGGCCCUUACGUCCGGGGCCACACACGUGUUACAAUGGGGGGCACAGCGAGCGGGGCCAUGGCGACAUGUCCCGAAUCAUGAAAUCCCCUCCCAGUUCGGACUGGAGUCUGCAACCCGACUCCACGAAGCCGGAUUCGCUAGUAAUCGCGCAUCAGCCAUGGCGCGGUGAAUACGUUCCCGGGCCUUGCACUCACCGCCCGUCA
rnacentral:rRNA from 1 species